UGGGGAAUAUUGCACAAUGGGCGAAAGCCUGAUGCAGCAACGCCGCGUGAGUGAUGAAGGCCUUCGGGUUGUAAAGCUCUGUCUUUUGGGACGAUAAUGACGGUACCAAAGGAGGAAGCCACGGCUAACUACGUGCCAGCAGCCGCGGUAAUACGUAGGUGGCAAGCGUUGUCCGGAUUUUACUGGGCGUAAAGGAUGCGUAGGCGGAUUUUUAAGUGAGAUGUGAAAACCCUAAGCUUAACUUGGGGACUGCAUUUCAUACUGGAAAUCUAGAGUGCGGGAGAGGAGAAUGGAAUUCCUAGUGUAGCGGUGAAAUGCGUAGAGAUUAGGAAGAACACCAGUGGCGAAGGCGAUUCUCUGGACCGUAACUGACGCUGAGGCAUGAAAGCGUGGGUAGCAAACAGGAUUAGAUACCCUGGUAGUCCACGCCGUAAACGAUGAGUACUAGGUGUAGGAGGUAUCGACCCCUUCUGUGCCGCAGUUAACACAAUAAGUACUCCGCCUGGGAAGUACGAUCGCAAGAUUAAAAA
rnacentral:rRNA from 1 species